UACGUAGGGUGCAAGCGUUGUCCGGAAUUAUUGGGCGUAAAGAGCUCGUAGGCGGUUCGGUAAGUCAGGUGUGAAAUCUCCACGCUCAACGUGGAGGCGCCACCUGAAACUGCCGUGACUCGAGUCCGGUAGGGGAGUGUGGAAUUUCCGGUGUAGCGGUGAAAUGCGUAGAUAUCGGAAGGAACAUCAGUGGCGAAAGCGACUUCCUGGACCAAUACUGACGCUCAUGUGCGAAAGCGUGGGGAGCAAACAGG
rnacentral:rRNA from 1 species